AUUGAACGCUGGCGGCAUGCCUUACACAUGCAAGUCGAACGGCAGCACGGGUGCUUGCACCUGGUGGCGAGUGGCGAACGGGUGAGUAAUACAUCGGAACAUGUCCUGUAGUGGGGGAUAGCCCGGCGAAAGCCGGAUUAAUACCGCAUACGAUCUACGGAUGAAAGCGGGGGACCUUCGGGCCUCGCGCUAUAGGGUUGGCCGAUGGCGGAUUAGCUAGUUGGUGGGGUAAAGGCCUACCAAGGCGACGAUCAGGAGCUGGUCUGAGAGGACGACCAGCCACACUGGGACUGAGACACGGCCCAGACUCCUACGGGAGGCAGCAGUGGGGAAUUUUGGACAAUGGGCGAAAGCCUGAUCCAGCAAUGCCGCGUGUGUGAAGAAGGCCUUCGGGUUGUAAAGCACUUUUGUCCGGAAAGAAAUCCUUGGCCCUAAUACGGUCGGGGGAUGACGGUACCGGAAGAAUAAGCACCGGCUAACUACGUG
rnacentral:rRNA from 1 species